AAGAAGAAGAAGAAGAAGAAUGGUCUUUCAAUUGGAGUCUCUACUCACUGUCUCAGUGCUGCAAAUAAUGUUGGAAUUAGCGAUAUCAGCAGCUGCAACAACUCUAGCAGGCCGAGGCUGUGAAGCCAGAUGUGGAGAUAUUGAUAUUCAAUACCCAUUUGGUAUUCGAGCUGAUUGUUCAAUGGACAAAUGGUUUGUAAUUGAUUGCAUUAAAAGCGCAAACUCUAGUAGAGCUUUCAUAAGCAGCAUCAACUUGGAGUUGAUAAAUAUCGACUAUGCACGCAGCAGCUUACUAGUUAAGGGUCCCGUAUUCUCCUACAAUUGUACCCGUCCUAACACCGGCCAAGAUGUGAAUCUAAGACGGACAUCUUUCACCUUUUCUGGUAGCAAUAAAUUCACCGUUGUGGGCUGCAACAACCGUGCUUCGCUAUCCUCUUCUGAUCCAGACGGUGAAGGAUGCCAACCAACCUGACUACAAGCACCAACUCACAAAUAUCACAUCUUCAUUUAUAUAAAUUCAUACUUUAAAGCUCCUCGAAAAUCAAUAAUCCAAUAAUGAAAAUCAAUCCCAAUAAUGAAAAGCAAUCACAUACUUCACUUUUCAUAUUAAUAAUUUAAUGAAAUUUCGACAACAUUUCCUCUUAAAAUUAAACUAAACUCCCUGUCAUAAACUUAAAUCCACAAUUCAAAAAUUAUAUCAACAUAUCUAUAUUCCUAACUUAUAUCUCUAUAUAAAUAUUUUUCCCAACACUUCCUACUCAAAUCUCAAUUAAAAUAUUUCAUAAUAUAUCCAUAACACUAAAAAUCCAACUAAACAUAUAUAAUUCUUCUAAAAAAUAUUCCACAAUCAUAUAAAAAUUCAAAAACUUCAUAUCCUAUCUCAAAAUAAUUUUAGUUCCAUCAAAAUCACUUAUUCAAUUUAACACAACCAUUAAUAUCCAAUCUAGUAGCUUGAACAUUCAAAUUUGUAUAUAAUGAUCCAACCGUCUGAUAAAUCCCAAAUUUUAACUAUAUGUUCAAGACAUCCAUAUACAAUAUCAAUACCAUUUUUAGCAUCCAAUUAUCACUACAUCACGAGAUAUCAACAUAUUUAUCCACCCCUUCAAAUUCUGAAUUUUUCAGAACUAAUACUUACUUAGACAACUCACUCAAAAUAAUUUAUAUCUCAUAAACUACAAAUUCAAAAUUCACCAAAUUUUAACACAAUAGCCCCAACAUCCUAAAAAUCAUCUCCACUAAAUUUCAUAAUUUUCUAAACAUUCUAACUAUUUAUUUUUAUCAAAUUUCAGUAGCCAAAAUUCAUAAUUCCCAAUACAGACAGCCUAUGUUCAACAAUUUAUUUCUCCAAAUC
rnacentral:misc_RNA from 1 species